AGCAGUAGCCGCGGUAAUACGGAGGGGGCUAGCGUUGUUCGGAAUUACUGGGCGUAAAGCGCACGUAGGCGGCUUGGUAAGUUAGAGGUGAAAGCCUGGAGCUCAACUCCAGAAUUGCCUUUAAGACUGCCGAGCUAGCAGGUGAGAGAGGUAAGUGGAAUUCCGAGUGUAGAGGUGAAAUUCGUAGAUAUUCGGAAGAACACCAGUGGCGAAGGCGGCUUACUGGCUCAUACUGGACGCUGAGGUGCGAAAGCGUGGGGAGCAAACAGGAUUAGAUACCCCCGUAGUCCCUGUCUCUUAUAC
rnacentral:rRNA from 1 species